UACGUAGGGGGCAAGCGUUGUCCGGAUUUAUUGGGCGUAAAGAGCGUGUAGGCGGCCUGGGAGGUCCGUUGUGAAAACUCGAGGCUCAACCUCGAGACGCCGAUGGAAACCCCCUGGCUAGAGUCCGGAAGAGGGGAGUGGAAUUCCUGGUGUAGCGGUGAAAUGCGCAGAUAUCAGGAAGAACACCCGUGGCUAAGGCGGCUCUCUAGUACGGUACUGACGCUGAGACGCGAAAGCGUGGGGAGCGAACAGG
rnacentral:rRNA from 1 species